ensembl:lncRNA
GAAAAAUGAAAAGGAAGGAAAAAUUUGGGUUGAAUAUUGUCUUGUUCCAUCCAUUUUAAUUUUAUUUAAAUAUGACAUUCUGCACCUCUUGGGAAAAAAAAGAAUGUUGAAAUGAGCAGCCAGCAGAAGAUAUCUUCUCGUACAACAUCCUGACACCUGUACUUGUGUUAUGAGAGAGAGAGGAGCAAAAGGCAGCAGUGACUCAUCCAGUCAGCAUGGAUGCCAGACUUCUGCAAUGCACUCAGAGAGAAGGUGAACUGAAGACAGCCAGAAGACAGAAGCUGAAUUUGAAUGGUUUAGUGCUAAAUGCAACCUGAGAGGUGUACGUCUUCCACUGGGGCACUGAGGUCUAUCUUCAAUAAAUUCUGUCUGAGUUUUGGUUCCCUACCAUGUUCAUGCAUCAUGCCAUCUGCACCAUGAAACAGAAGUCAUUUUGUCUGCAUAGUAACAGACAAAGUACUGACUACUAGCGUUAAAACCAAGGUGUUCCUUGAAGAAAAAAAAAAAAAACUCAAAAUAAUAAAAUAAAUAAAUAAACUUUCCACAAAAUUACAGUGCAGACUUUGAUAAAUUCAGUGUCUGCACAGGAGACAGUAAACACAGUACAGUGAUGAAUAACUGUCAGUGAAGCUUGUAUGGUACUGUGAAGGAAGGGAAAAAUAUUUUAAUUCAUGAUAAACAGAAAUGAACUGUUUCCUAAGUUGGAGCAGGGCUUCAUGUUGGAGAAAAAUAGCAGUGAGCAGAACAACUAGAGAGAAUGCAUUAUCUGUACUGCUGGAGAUCUUCAUGGACAGCCUAUGCAGACUCCUUCUGGGCAGGUGUAAGAGACUAUUCUUUUAUAUCAUUGACUCAAAGUUUGCUGAGGAACAAGUCCAGGCAAGUCCUGGGCAAAGGCAGAGAAACACUGAUGGACAGGUCCUGGCUAAGGAUUGUGAAAUCCUCUAAGGAGCUCAGAUGGACAAGGCCAGGGGCAUCGAGAGAGAGAUAAGCUGCUGCUAAUGGCCGGGAAGCGGUCUUUUUGUGUGGACUUAUCUCAAGGAAAAUGGCCAUCUCAGGAGGUAUGCACAGGACUCUUGCUCAAGCACCCAGGAAUGUCACGUAGGCAGCAGAAAAUGGAGGAUAAAAGAGGGUCCAAUCACCGCAACGUGGGAAGCUGAUCCUUCACCACAACCACGGACUUGAGGGGUUCUCUGCCAUCUGAUCCUUCACCGCAACGUGUAGACGGAUCUCUACGUGGAGACUGAUCUCUCACCACGACACGAGCUUCCUGCCUUCCGAUCCUCCUCUACGGACCGUUUGCUGACGGACUUCCCUGGGCCUGCUACCUGAGACCUGCUGCUUCCUCCCUGACCUGCAUCCUCUCGCUGCUCCUGCCCUUCGGCCUCGGACCGUCGGAACAUCGUGCAACGGGACUGCUGCCGGAUCCUGGUG